AAUUCAGACAAACUCCGAAUGCCAAUUAAUUUAACUUGGGAGUCAGAACAUGGGUGAUAAGGUCCGUGUUCGAAAGGGAAACAGCCCAGACCACCAGCUAAGGUCCCAAAAUAUAUGUUAAGUGGAAAAGGAUGUGGCGUUGCCCAGACAACUAGGAUGUUGGCUUAGAAGCAGCCAUCAUUUAAAGAGUGCGUAAUAGCUCACUAGUCGAGUGACACUGCGCCGAAAAUGUACCGGGGCUAAACAUAUUACCGAAGCUGUGGAUUGUCCUUUGGACAAUGGUAGGAGAGCGUUCUAAGGGCGUUGAAGCAUGAUCGUAAGGACAUGUGGAGCGCUUAGAAGUGAGAAUGCCGGUGUGAGUAGCGAAAGACGGGUGAGAAUCCCGUCCACCGAUUGACUAAGGUUUCCAGAGGAAGGCUCGUCCGCUCUGGGUUAGUCGGGUCCUAAGCUGAGGCCGACAGGCGUAGGCGAUGGAUAACAGGUUGAUAUUCCUGUACCACCUAUAAUCGUUUUAAUCGAUGGGGGGACGCAGUAGGAUAGGCGAAGCGUGCGAUUGGAUUGCACGUCUAAGCAGUAAGGCUGAGUAUUAGGCAAAUCCGGUACUCGUUAAGGCUGAGCUGUGAUGGGGAGAAGACAUUGUGUCUUCGAGUCGUUGAUUUCACACUGCCGAGAAAAGCCUCUAGAUAGAAAAUAGGUGCCCGUACCGCAAACCGACACAGGUAGUCAAGAUGAGAAUUCUAAGGUGAGCGAGCGAACUCUCGUUAAGGAACUCGGCAAAAUGACCCCGUAACUUCGGGAGAAGGGGUGCUCUUUAGGGUUAACGCCCAGAAGAGCCGCAGUGAAUAGGCCCAAGCGACUGUUUAUCAAAAACACAGGUCUCUGCUAAACCGUAAGGUGAUGUAUAGGGGCUGACGCCUGCCCGGUGCUGGAAGGUUAAGAGGAGUGGUUAGCUUCUGCGAAGCUACGAAUCGAAGCCCCAGUAAACGGCGGCCGUAACUAUAACGGUCCUAAGGUAGCGAAAUUCCUUGUCGGGUAAGUUCCGACCCGCACGAAAGGCGUAACGAUUUGGGCACUGUCUCAACGAGAGACUCGGUGAAAUCAUAGUACCUGUGAAGAUGCAGGUUACCCGCGACAGGACGGAAAGACCCCGUGGAGCUUUACUGUAGCCUGAUAUUGAAAUUCGGCACAGCUUGUACAGGAUAGGUAGGAGCCUUUGAAACGUGAGCGCUAGCUUACGUGGAGGCGCUGGUGGG
rnacentral:rRNA from 1 species